rnacentral:misc_RNA from 1 species
AACGUAGGGGGCAAGCGUUGCCCGGAUUCACUGGGCGUAAAGCGGGUGUAGGCGGUCCGUUAAGUCGGGUGUGAAAUCUCCAAGCUCAACUUGGAAACUGCACCCGAUACUGGCGGACUUGAGGACGGUAGAGGUCGGUGGAAUGCGAGGUGUACCGGUGAAAUGGACAGAUAUCUCGCGGAACACCAGUGGCGAAGGCGGCCGACUGGGCCGAUCCUGACGCUGAGACCCGAAAGCCAGGGUAGCGAACCGG